CUGCUGUAAAGGACUCUUAUCUCCAUCGGUCGCAUAUCGUCGCCGCAUCUUUACCGCUGCGCUUUUUUUUUCACUGUUUCGGGCACACCGCAGUAGAUGUAAAUACACCGCUCUGCUCUUUUUGCAGUGUUCAUAUACUCACUGCCGUCACUCUGGGGACAGCUGUGCUGAGCCAAUCGUGGUGCAGUCUCACUCACUGAUAGAGUUCCACCUUGCGACACACUCGUCUUAGACACAAGACGAGGUGUUGUUUGUUGGCGACUGCGUUCGGUCACCUCGCCGCUUCUCUUCUCCCCCCCCCUUCUCCACCUUAACAGGCUCUCGUGUGACUGGAAGGGCAUUUGACAAUGGGGAUAGCGGCACACUCGACAGACAGCGCACAUUUUCUUUAUUCAUAUCGAUAGACGCACACGUCUCCGCACGUGCACAGCCUUUUGCUUGUAAGCACUCUACUUGCGUUUCGAGGUGGUCCUCUGUGGGCAUCGCCUGGAGGAGUAGUCCUCCUCUCAUUCAGUAGUCUUUCGGCUGUAUUGGCGGCGCUGCAAUGAGCUGCGCCAGCGCGUCCGUCAGAUCAGGGCAAGAUGCGUUGCCGGUCGCAGGGCCUUCAGCACCGUCAACAAUGAUGCCAUAUCUGCACAGCAUUAACGAGGACGGCGCCAUGCGCAUUCUUGCAGAGAUGCUAGACGCGCUUGACACUCACGGUCUUGCUCUUUUCUCGGAGUCCGGUCACGGGGCGGCGUGGCCGCUGUCGUCGCCGACGACUUGGUCUUCAGCUCUCGCUGUGCUCGCUACUAGUGCGCCGCUCAACGCCAUGGUCGCUGACACCCUACUGGAGCGUGUGAGUGCUGCCUUGUCGGUCGAGAUCGGUGUUUACCAGUCAGCCGUCCUGUGCUGUAGUGGCCCACUCUCCACCGAGGUAGCGCUUCCGGCGCUUGAGAGACUUGGCGAGGUGUACCGCCAAGUGCAUUCACAUCUGCUGCGCUGGUGCUCGGCACUGCAUACACCAGGGGUUGCUGCGCUCCUUGCUGUCCGACUUCGCUGUGCGUUGCUGCAGACAGACUUGGUGACCGGCGAAGAACCUCCAGGAAGGCAGGCACUCUUUACUUUUCUUCGGUGGCACGGUCGGUUCGUCCUGGCGACGCAGCGGAAAGCGGCAGGUGAUGGAGAUGAGGAGGAAGCGCGCGGCUCAGAGUGCGACGGGACUUUGGGAGAAGCAGGUGACGCUAGCGAGAGCGCCUUGGCACCUGCAUCCGCUUCGCCGGCGCCGGAUUCUUUAAUGGCGUGCCUGCACCGGCUAGCUCUAAACCGGUCGGCAGAAGUGAAACAGUUAUGGAGGUCUGUAUUAGAAGACGGCAUUCGCGACCGACUGAGUGACCUCUCUGAUGACUUCUCGACUCGUAUUUUGCACAAACACUUGUCAUGGCUGGAGCACUCGGUCGUGCCGUUUGUGCGGAUGGUGUUGCCUGACAGCGACGGGGAGUCGGAUCCUUUGUGUCGCAGCAGCGGCAACCUCAGCGACGGGACCUCUACGAAUCGCCGCUGUGGGGACGUGGGAAUGACGUCAGAAGGCUGUCAUACGGUGCCGAGACGCGCGCAGGAAGGCGACGCGUGCCCUUCAUCACAGACGAACGAGGCGGUGCGAGCGGAGCGGGAGGCAUGGUGUGCCGACUUGCGACUGCUGCUGCUGCACACCUACGCUCGCAGGCGCCUUGACGGCUUUUGGGAGAUCCUCUCGGACUACCCCGACUCUGUUCCAGCUCUCGAGGACAUGCGCUACUGCCUGCAGUCGACCCCGGAAAGCGGCCUCAAGACAGAGCUGGUGCAGACUGUGCGCCAUAUGCUCUCUUCGCGCCUCCACCGCGCCGGCACACGCACCGACGACAUUUUGGCCAUUCUCAUCAACACCAUUCACGCCUUCUGCAUAUUGUUUCCACGAAAUGAGCAGAGCAGCGUCGUCUUCUCCGUCACCUCCGACACCCUGGAGCACCUGCGGCGGCGCAAGGACUGUGUGCCAGCGGUGGUGCAGGCGGUGAUGCAGCCCGGUGGCGCCAUGAACGUUGCACCACCACCGCUGACCCAGGCUGCAUCCGAGGGCCUUGCCGGCAGCCUGGACUUCGACGGCGAUGCAGGCAGCAAAGAAGGGGAGCUGCAUCGCGCAGCUUCUCGAGGAAGACCGGAUGUGGUGCGCGUGCUGCUCACGUCGAUUCCUCGCCGUGCAUUGGUGGAUGAGUACCAGCAGAUGCUGGCGGAGCAGCUUCUGCAGAAGCCCAUGCACCAGUUUGAUACAACACCAGAGGAGGAGGUGCUCGAGCGGCUGCGGCACGUGUUCGGCGAGACGGCACUCGAUCGGUGCGCAGUAAUGAUGCGAGACAUGCAGAUGUCCCGGCGUAUCUCGCAGCAGCUGCGCGAGCAGCUGGGUCCUCGCCGCACGGACUGCUUGCCACAGUUGGGACCCACUGCUGCCUCCGCCACUGCUGUGUCUCCCGCUGCAAGCGUCUCGGUUCUGUCGAUGACAGCGUGGCCUCCACUUGUUCGCUGCAGCUCCGCGAACGGCGGCGAUUCUGGUCCUGCUGCGGCGCCACUGAAAUUUUGUCCCCAUCCGGCGCUGCAGGAGGAGAUGGAUACUCUUGCGGAGGCGUACAAGCGGCUCAAGGACAACCAGCGAAUGACCUGGUUGCCGUCCCUCGGCCGUGUUGAACUGGAGCUAAAGCAGAAGGACCCGUCCAAGGGGAACUCACUCGUGGCGGUGCCGCAGAUACUCUCUCUGUUUGACGCAUCGUUCGUCUUGCACGUGAAGGAGAUGACAAGCCGUGGUGGCUCCAGCACGCCGGUGCAUCUAAAGGAGGUGGCGGCCGUAUUGGAGGUACAACUGGAGGAGCUCCGCGCGCAUGCGCAACGACUCUCCCCGGCGGUGCUGAUGUUCCAGCCAGCGACGGACCUGGUCACCAUGCAGCUUAGCGUGGCUGCUUCUGCCGAUUUCGUCUUCAUGGAGGACAGAGAAACCGAUGAGGAAUCCGGGAAGCCGGCAGGACUUCCCCCCGAGCGUGUAAAGCUGAUGGAGCGGAUGGUGACGUCGCUGCUCAAGACACGUGGCGCGCAAUCGAGCACAGCGAUUCACAGCAGUCUCAAGUUGUUGGGCAAGUUCGAAGGGUCAAACGCGGACGUGGUAGAGCUGCUGCGAUCGUUUGUGGGCCGAGGAUUGAUUGUGCUCAACGACGCGAGGCAGUACGCCCUUCCACCCAAGUAAGCGGAACUGACUUCCACGUCUAGAUGUGCUUGCGUACCCACCCCUCUCCCUCUCUCUUUUUUCCAUUAGAGGCCGCCACAGCGGAACUCGUUGCUGAGCCGAAGAAGGCAGGUCUGAGGGUUUGCUACGUGCAUAAGAGAAAAAGGCGUGCAUCGUUCCAGUGUGCGUGUGCAAGUAUGUGCACGGAUGCCAUGAUGACGGAAUGGACGAACACCACAUCUUUCUGUACCUUUUUGUGACACUAAACCCUCUUCCCCUCUUGUGCAUUGGAGCUGCCCCACCAGUUUCUCGUAUUUCAACCCCUCUCACUCUUUGCCUUGUCUUUCUCUCUAG
rnacentral:misc_RNA from 1 species